rnacentral:pre_miRNA from 1 species
CAAACAUUUAGGCCGUCGGUCUACCGAGCAAUAUCAUUAGCUCAGUGGAAGAUUUUCCCUUUGUCAU